rnacentral:rRNA from 1 species
AGAGUUGAUCCUGGCUUAGGAUGAACGCUAGCUACAGGCUUAACACAUGCAAGUCGAGGGGCAGCAUGAUCUAGCUGCUAGAAUUGAUGGCGGCCGGCGCACGGGUGAGUAACGCGUAUCCAACCUGGCCCAUAGUAGGGAACAGCCCGGCGAAAGUCGGAUUAAUGCCCUAUGUUGUAUUUUGAGGACAUCUGACGAAUACCAAAGAUUUAUCGCUAUGGGAUGGGGAUGCGUCUGAUUAGGCAGUCGGCGGGGUAACGGCCCACCGAACCUUCGAUCAGUAGGGGUUCUGAGAGGAAGGUCCCCCACAUUGGAACUGAGACACGGUCCAAACUCCUACGGGAGGCAGCAGUGAGGAAUAUUGGUCAAUGGGCGUAAGCCUGAACCAGCCAAAAGUAGCGUGCAGGAUGACGGCCCUAGUGGGUUGUAAACUGCUUUUGUCGGGGAAUAAAGUGUCCUACGUGUAGGAUUUUGUAUGUACCCGAAGAAUAAGGACCGGCUAAUUCCGUGCCAGCCGCCGC